GUGUAGGAUAGGUGGGAGGCUUUGAAGCGUGGACGCCAGUCUGCGUGGAGCCAACCUUGAAAUACCACCCUUUAAUGUUUGAUGUUCUAACCUGGCGCCGUGAUCCGGCGUGGGGACAGUGUCUGGUGGGUAGUUUGACUGGGGCGGUCUCCUCCUAAAGAGUAACGGAGGAGCACGAAGGUUGGCUAAUCCUGGUCGGACAUCAGGAGGUUAGUGCAAUGGCAUAAGCCAGCUUGACUGCGAGCGUGACGGCGCGAGCAGGUGCGAAAGCAGGUCAUAGUGAUCCGGUGGUUCUGAAUGGAAGGGCC
rnacentral:rRNA from 1 species